rnacentral:rRNA from 1 species
AACGAACGCUGGCGGCAUGCCUAACACAUGCAAGUCGAACGAGACCUUCGGGUCUAGUGGCGCACGUGUGCUUAACGCGUGGGAACCUACCCUUAGGUUCGCAAUAACUCCCUGAAAGGGGUGCUAAUACAGGAUAAUGUCUUCGGACCAAAGAUUUAUCGCCUUUGGAUGGGCGCGCGUAGGAUUAGCUAGUUGGUAGUGUAAAAGCAUACCAAGGCGACGUUCCAUAGCUGGUCUGAGAGGAUGAUCAGCCACACUGGGGCUGAGACACGGCCCAGAAUCCUACGGAAGGCAGCAGAGGGGAAUAUUGGACAAUGGGGGAAAGCCUGAUCCAGCAAUGCGGCGUGAGUGAUGAAGGCCUUAGGGUAGUAAAGCUCUUUUACCCGGAAUGAUAAUGACGGUACCGGGAGAAUAAGCUCCGGCUAACUACGUG